rnacentral:lncRNA from 1 species
AGAAUUCACCAAUGAAGCCAUCUUGUCCUGGACACUUCUUUGAGGUAGGAUUUUUCUUUUUUUGACUUUUUAGAGCCACACCCAUGGCAUAUGGAAUUUCUCAGGCUAGGGGUCUAAUCGGAACUGUAGCUGCCAGCCUACACCACAGCCACAGCAAUGUGAGAUUGGAACCACAUCUGCAACUUACACCACAGCUCACGGCAACACCAGAUCCUUAACCCACUGAGCAAGGCCAGGGAUUGAACCUGCAUCCUCAUGGUUACUAGUCAGGUUCGUUACCACUGAGCUACAACGUGAACUCCCUGGGGGAAAAUUUUUAAUCACUAAUUUAAUUUCUUUACUUGUUAUUCAUCAGUUCAUUUUUUCUUCUUGAAUUAGUAUUGGUAAUUGAUAUCUUUUUAGGACUUUUUCCUUUUCAUCUAAUUGAUAUAAUUUAUAAUAUAGUAUAAAAAAUCUGGAUCUUGAUUUUCGCACUAAAAGUUUAUAUUGCUCUUUACUUGUUCAUUAACUUACCUAGGCUAAAUCUGUGAAGUCUGCAUUCCCUGACAUUUAUGGAUACAAUUGUUCAGCUCAAUUUUUUAAACAAAUUAUUUAUUUACUUAUAUUCUUGGUUUUAUUUAAAUUCUGACUUCCUAGGGGACCUUCUGUGACUGAAUAGCUUAAUGGUUAGAUAAUGAUUCUACAGAGGUUAUAAUGACAACCUUGAAGCAGCAAAAGCCCAUCUUCUGCCAAUGAAUCUGUGUACAGGUAGGUGAGGACAUUCACAUUCAGAUCAUUUCUAAUCCUGCCCAGUCUCUUAGAUUUCACUGGCUCUUUUGGGUCUCCUCUGUGCAGCCUCAAAGUUGGCCAGGAUUAUGUGAAAUUAUCAGAGAAGUCUGAUCUCCACUUCUCAUACAUUCAUCCUCAGCCAGGAAUAGACUUGCCCCACACACAGCAGUAACCUAAGGAUAGUAGAGACAUUGGUCCUGGCCUGUUCAUCUGCCUCUGAAAAUAUUAGCCCCAUCCCUCUAUCACAGAAAAGAAAAUGCUGGUCCUUAUGGCCUUCCUUAUCCUGGCAGAACCCCUGCCUCAACUGAACACAGAUGUGGGCCAGAACACCACAAAUUCCCACUAUUCUUACUCAAAUUUCGUCAGUUUUUCCAUAAUACAUGCUUCCAAAAUUCUAAACCAUGGGUAGAUUUACAGAACAUUGAAAUGAUGUUAUUCUGUCAAUUUUUUCCAGCUCUGUAGCUGCUUUUUGUGAAAAAGAUUUGUAGUCUCUCUGUAGACUGUAACGGGAAGUACCACUUUGAAAUGCUUUUUAAAAAUCAGAGUUAGUAAUGCAAGAGAAAAAAAAAAACACUUGGCUUAUUUUCUGAUUAAAUCUGUUCUAUUGCUCUUUAAGAACUCUUGAUUUAUUUUUCAGAUUUCUCGAAGAUGCUAAUUUUAUUUUUCUAGGUUUUUAAAGUAAAGUUUAGUGCACUAAAUUGGUACUAUGGUACUGUUUCCUGUAGCAGUUUCUAAUCUUGGGUUUCUGUCCUGCAAAUUGUGAUCCUCUGUAUCCUCUUCUAUUUCUCCAAUUUGGAAGGCACCAGUUUGCCCCAUGACCUCAAUUCUCAAUUCUCUGAUGGAUAUAAGGAAAUUUAUUGAUUUUCAUUUUGUUCAGUUAUUCCUUUGUUGUGAAGACAGAAAUGAUGUCUUCUAAAAUCCCUAUCCACUGGGCCAGAUAUUGGAAGUCCAUCUACAUAUUUUUGUUUUUCAUAAAACAGGGAUAUAAAAUCUAUAAUAUGAAAAAUAAAUAUUACAAUCAUUUACUUAUUUCUUCCUUUUUUUCUUGAAUUUUACUAUGACAUUGCAGACAUCUACCAGUCAACAUCUCCAAAUUUUCUUUAAGUACUAAAGAGAGAACAUGUGCCUUGGUAUGUGUUAGGAUUUUCUAAAAAGGGAUAUUGUUUUGCUGUUACCUCAUGCCUACCAAGGGUCAUGUCAUUGUUAUGCUUCAUCUGCGAUGUUCAGCCUAUUUACAAGAAUAACAUAGUCCUAGUUUUCUCCACCUCCAUAGUAUGUAAUUUUGGGGGACAAGUUAUCACUACUUUAAUUAAGGUAUUUCUCCCUUUCUUUUAUCAUGUAUUAGUAACUGUCUUCUGUUACUUCCUCUCCUAAAACUAGCUUUUAAUUUAGCAUCUCCAUAAUCCUCUUCUUAAUCAUUUUCCUGCACUUUUUAUAAAAACUAGCUUCUGUUCCUCCUAAUACUCUUAAAACCAAAUGUAUUCAUUAUAAGUAUAUGCCAAGUGUUUUACUCCUUCAUUAGACCUAGUUAGUCAUGCUUCAGCUUUUAUAUAUAUAAAUGCAUAUUAUAUUUUCAAAAAUUAGUUUGCUUUUGUUUUUCCUUUGUAUUAUAAUUGGGACAUUGCAUUUUUGAAGUUAUGUGUAAAAGUAUGUUAGAUUAUAAAUUCUAUUUCAGGGUCAUUAUAAAAUGUUGGUUAUAGGAGUUGUUGAGUCUGAUAGGGUAGAGAAUCAGUGAUAUGAUGAAUUAAAUGAUACCUUUCUUAUUGUAGCCUAAUUAUCUUAAUUUCCUUUACAUAUGGUAAAAAUGUUAGAGGUCUAAUUCAACUGUUUACAUAAAGGUAUUGCUACUAAAUAAGAAAAAUGUUUUUAAAGUUUAGUUUUUAAAUUUUUUUUGUGUUAGGUCUAACAAGCUGUUUUAACCAAAUUCUAUUAUUUACCUGGAUGAAUAACAGAGACAACUGGUUGGCUACCUCAUAACCAUUCUCCACUUUCUUCCUUACUAAUAAUAACAACCCAAAUUUUAGUUCUAGUGACCAUUGGCUUCAACAAGUCUAACUGCUUACCCCCUGCAUCAAGAUACAGAGGGGAUGAUAACCAUUUUAAUAUAUAUAUUUUUUUGUCUUUUUGUCUUUCUAGGGCUGUAACCAUGGCAUAUGGAGGUUCCCAGGCUACAGGUCCAAUCUGAGCUAUAGCUGCUGGCCUACACCACAGCCACAGCAACGUGGGAUCCGAGCCACAUCUGUGACCUACACCAUAGCUCAUGGCAAUCCUGGAUCCUUAACCCCCAGAGCAAGGCCAGGGAUUGAACCCAUGUCCUCAUGGAUGCUAGUCAAGUUUGUUAACCAUUGAGUCACGAUGGGAAUUCUCAUUUUAAUAUAAAUUUAUAUUGAAAUAUAAUGUAUAUACAGCAGAGCGAAAAAAUCUGUGUUCAGGUCUGUGAAUUUUCACAAGCUUACUUCAUUUAUACCACUACCAUUCAAAUCAAGAAAUAGAAUAUUGGGAGUUCCUGUCAUGGCGCAGCAGAAACGAAUCUGACUAGGAACCAUGAGGUUGAGGGGUUGAUCCCUGGCCUCUCUCAGUGGGUUAAGGAUCCAGCGUUACCAUGAGCUGUGGUGUAGGUCGCAGAUGUGGCUUGGAUCUGGCAUUGCUGUGGUUGUGGUGUAGGCCGGUGGCUGCAGCUUGGAUUGGACCCCUAACCUGGGAACUUCCAUAUGCCGUGGGUGCAGCCCUAAAAAGACCAGGAAAAAGAAAAAAAGAAAGAAACAGAAUAUUGCAGAACAAAGAAGCCCUCCCUUGCCCUCUUUUAGCCAUACCUUGUGUUUGGAAGAAAUGUAACAUUUUAAUUUUUUCUUAAACUAUUCCUUUACUUUUGCCAAUUAUUAAUUUAGAAAUUUUAUAGUGUCACAGUAAACAUCAAUGAGCUAUGGGUCAAAUAUGCUAGGAGGUUUUGGACAUGUUUUCUUCACUCUUAAAAACAGAAUACAAGAAAGAAAUAAGUCCUCUUCCUCCUCUCUCACCUUUGGACUUUGUCCAAAUGUAUGAAAAUAUGAUGCUUAUCACUACUGAAAACAUCUUAUAACUAUAAGGGUUAAAAUCUAAGAAUAAAACCCAACAAUGUGAAGAGGGCAAAACAAAUGUGGAAAGAACCUGGGUGCAUGAUUGGGUCUUUAUUUUUUGAGAACUGCUCUAUUUCAGAUAUUCUGCUAUAUGAGACAAUAAAUUGUCUUUAUUAUUGAAGAUGCCUUUGGAUGUUUCUUCUUGCUUGUAUACAAUGAUAUUUUAAUAUCUUAUAAAUCCUUCAUAAAUUAGUCACCUUUUAUCAAUUCUCUCCCACUACAAUCUGGGUUCUACCUCCACCAUCCCAUUAAAACUUGCUCUCAACAACAUCACAAAUGAUUUUUCAUUUGUUAAAUUUCACGGACAUCUUUUAAUUCUUAAGCUUCUGUAUAUCUGGCAUUUUAUGCUGUUGACUACUCCUUCCCUGAACCUUACUCUUCCCAUAAUGUCAUACACCCUUUUCUUCUAAGCACCUUGGCCUAUUUUCUACACUCCUUCUAUUAUUUCUUAUCAUCUCCAUCUGUCCUUUUAAAUGAGGAUAUUUUAUAGUGAUUUCUCCAAACCCAUUUGUCAUUUUUACAAAGUCUCACUAUGUGAUCUCACCCUCUUACAUGAUUUUAGUUGUCACUUAAAAGAUGAUGAUACCUAAGUCUUUAUCUCUACACCUAACCUCUUCCAUGAUCUUCAGACCCUUAUAGUCCAAUUAUGUGUUAACUGUAUCCAAUUGAAUUUCAAAUGCACUUUAAACUCAAUAUAUAUCUUUCUAAGGAGGUGACAUUUACGUGGAUAUAUGAAUUAAGUGAGGGAGUGAACUUACAAAUACCUGGGGAAUGGGCAUUGCAGAAGGAAGGAAGAGCAAGCUUAAAGGCCCUGAUUACUAUGAUCUUAACACGUUUGGUUUAAGAGCUCAGCUGAUAUUCACCCAAGAGUGUUUCUUUUCUAAUUCAACAUCAGCCAGGAUUUCACCUAAUGACCUUUAGAAGGAGCUUAUCAGACAGCGCUAAGCUGUCCCCACAGUGAGUUGGGACAGUGAAAUGAAUUAUUCCACACUUAAUAUUAAGAAUAACAGGCAAUGUAUUUAAGAGAUUCCUCCUCUGUAAAUCUACUUCUGGUUUGCAUUUCUGAUUUUUUUUUUUUCUUUUUAGGGCUACACCUGCGGCAUAUGGAGUUUCCCAAGCUAGGGGUAAAUCAAAGCUGCAGCUGCCAGCCUACACCACAGCCAGAGCAACACCGGACGCUUAACCAACUGAGCAAGGCCAUGGAAUGAACCCAAAUCUUCAUGGAUACUAGUCAGAUUCCUUACUGCUGAGCCACAACAGGAACUCUAUAAUUCUGUGUUGUUGUUUCUGAUUUAUAAUAUUCUGUAAGACAUUGACAUUAUGUAUGAAAAUAUGAAACUGGGUUACUUGGAGAUGAAACUGGAGCUGCCAAAGAGGUAGAAAAAAAUUUUAAAUGCCGGAUGAGCUAAGUAAAUAAUCAGAGAAAUGGAGAAGAAAAAUGUUAUUCCAGAAGGGAGAAGAAAAAAAUACAUAUGAAAAUAACCAGCAUGUGGGUGACCUCAAUACAUAGUACAUCAUUUGUGAUAUUGAUAAUUAAAUAAUUAUAUGUUUAAGUAUGUUUUAAAAUGAUCACUGUUUACCAUGAAUAUAAAUAAAAACCAAAAUGCGUACUUUUCAGAUGAUAAAAGAAUAGAAUAUAAAGCAUAUAUUUUCUACUAAAGUAGAAAAUAGAUGUGAGAGAAAACAUAAAAUGAUAAAAUAAGAAGUUUUUAAUUCCAAAAAUAACUUUUAAAUGAAUCACCUUAUUAAAAAGACUUUCAGAUUAGAUUUAGAGAUAAAUUCAUCUAUUUGGUAUUUACAAGAUAGAUUUUUAAAGUAAGCAGUAUGAAAAAGCAAAAAUAAUUAGAUGUUAGGCACAGAUAUAUCAGCCAUGUAUAAUCAUAAGAAAAGUUUCACACUAUUAUUAUUUUAAAAAAUAGAAUUCAAAGUAAAAACAUAAACCUAGUGAAUUUUUUUUAAACUCUUGGACAAAGGAUACAAUCCACAAUGAAACUCUAAUAGUCAUAAUAGUCAUAAAUUUUCAUUCUCUAAAUAACAUACCAUCAAAACAUAAAAAUAAAAUGCUCUUUGAAAUACAAUUCAGCUGGGACUGCUCCAAAGGAACAGUGAAAUAAGAGAGCAGCAUCGAACUCUCAAGGCAUAUUCUAAUGUUUCUAGAAAAGAAGUAGUAAAAAGGAGGCUUUCUUCCAUUCUGUUUCACAAGUUACACAAAACCUAGAAAAUUCUCAAGCAAAGGAAAAGCAAAGUUUCUAGGAACAAAUGGCAGAGACCUAUUCAUCAUUCCUUAGCCCAUGAGAAUACAGGUUUGGAAGCAUCAACAGGAACACCUAUUUAGAAAAGUCCUGAGGGGGAUUCUCCAGCUGAGAGAAAUAUCUUGAAGUAGGAGAAGACUCAUCUUGGAGAUAGAAUACAUAAACCAAGGUGGAACAUGACUAAAAAUGUCCUGAUAGGAUGCUGGAGCUGGGAAAAUGUAGAGAUAGGAAGAAAUCUUGAACGGAGAAAGGAGGCAAGGAACUUUUGAGCAUUAAAACAUCCUUUAUUUUACAAAAUGCUAAUGUGUCCCUUAGGAUAACAUUUCAUUAGUAAUAAAAUCCUUGAAAAUAAUGGUUUAAAACGUAAAAAGUAUUUUUCUCUCAUUAGAAAUCCUAUGGUGGGUAAUCCAAAGCUGAUUAGGUGGCUCCACAAUGCCAUUAAUAACCCAGGCUCCUUUUCAUCUUCUUCUCAUUCUCGGACUUCUUUAGCAUAUAACUGUUAUAUUUGUGUCUAUAGCAUGAUCACAAGAUGGCUGCUCUAACCCCAGUCUCAUGUCUAAGUAGACAAAAAAAAAAAAAAAAAAAAA